GCCCUGGUGGUGGAACUGGCAUACACGCAGCACUUAAAAUGCUGUGGCCGAAAGGCCUUGAGGGUUCGAGUCCCUCCCUGGGCA
rnacentral:tRNA from 1 species